CUUUUUGAAGAAUGAGCCUGCGAGUUAGUGGCAUGUGGCGAGGUUAACCCGGGUGGGGGAAGCCGUAGCGAAAGCGAGUCCGAACAGGGCGCACCAGUCGCGUGCUCUAGACCCGAAGCGGAGUGAUCUACCCAUGGGCAGGUUGAAGCACGUGUAAGAGCGUGUGGAGGACCGAACCCACUUAGGUUGAAAACUGAGGGGAUGACCUGUGGGUAGGGGUGAAAGGCCAAUCAAACUCCGUGAUAGCUGGUUCUCCCCGAAAUGCAUUUAGGUGCAGCGUCAUGUGUUUCUUGCCGGAGGUAGAGCUACUGGAUGGCCGAUGGGCCCUACAAGGUUACUGACGUCAACCAAACUCCGAAUGCCGGUAAGUGAGAGCAUGGCAGUGAGACUGCGGGCUAAGGUUCGUGGUCGAGAGGGAAACAGCCCAGACCACCGGCUAAGGCCCCCAAGCGUGUGUAAGUGGGAAAGGAUGUGGAGUUGCACAGACAACCAGGAGGUUGGC
rnacentral:ncRNA from 1 species